AGUGAAUAAUUAAACGGCCGCGGUACCCUAACCGUGCAAAGGUAGCAUAAUCACUUGUCUAUUAAUUGUAGACCAGCAUGAAUGGCAAAAUGAGGGUUUAACUGUCUCUUAUAGUAAAUCAAUUAAACUGAUCCCCUAGUAAAAAAGCUAGAAUAUCUCCAUAAGACCAGAAGACCCUGUGAAGCUUAAACUAAACUACUAAACCAUAUAGUAACUACUUUCGGUUGGGGCAACCUUGGAAAAAAAAAGAACUUCCAAAUCAAUGACCAUAAAUCAUCAUACUGGCCGACAGGCCCAAUCUUAGACCCAGCAAAGCUGAUAAUUGAACCAAGUUACUCCAGGGAUAACAGCGCUAUCUUCUUCAAGAGCCCAUAUCAAAAAGAAGGUUUACGACCUCGAUGUUGGAUCAGGACAUCCUAG
rnacentral:rRNA from 1 species